rnacentral:snoRNA from 2 species
UGGAGUUGAGGUCACACGCUGGUCGAUGAACUCACAAGUGUAGGUAGUGUGCUAAAAGANUGGCAAGGUUUUCGCUAACACCCCACUCUGGUCCAGUGAGUGGGGUUUGAUAGUAACCUUUGCUACAAAA